rnacentral:rRNA from 1 species
GUCGAUUCUGCCAGAGGCCACUGCUAUCGGGGCUCGAUUAAGCCAUGCGAGUCGAGAGGUGCAAGACCUCGGCAUACUGCUCAGUAACACGUGGACAACCUACCCUAAGGAGGGGGAUAACCCCGGAAAACUGGGGAUAAUACCCCAUAGACUACAGAAGCUGGAAUGCUCUGUAAUCGAAAGGUCCGCCGCCUUAGGAUGGGUCUGCGGCUGAUUAGGUUGUUGUUGGGGUAACGGCCCAACAAGCCUGUAAUCAGUACGGGUUGUGGGAGCAAGAACCCGGAGAUGGAUUCUGAGACACGAAUCCAGGCCCUACGGGGCGCAGCAGGCGCGAAAACUUUACAAUGCGAGAAAUCGUGAUAAGGGAACCCCGAGUGCCCGUAAAUUCGGGCUGUUAAUCUGUGUAAAAAGCAGGUGGAGAAAGGGCCGGGCAAGACCGGUGCCAGCCGCCGCGGUAAUACCGGCGGCUCGAGUGGUGGCCACUAUUACUGGGCUUAAAGCGUCCGUAGCUGGAUUGUUAAGUCUCUUGGGAAAUCUACCGGCUUAACCGAUAGGCGUUCAAGGGAUACUGGCAAUCUAGGGACCGGAAGAGGUGAGAGGUACUCCAGGGGUAGGAGUGAAAUCCUGUAAUCCUUGGGGGACCGCCUGUGGCGAAGGCGUCUCACCAGAACGGCUCCGACAGUGGGGGACGAAAGCUGGGGGAGCAAACCGGAUUAGAUACCCGGGUAGUCCCAGCUGUAAACGAUGUGCGUUAGGUGUAUCGGUGACCACGAGUCGCCGAGGUGCCGAAGAGAAAUCGUGAAACGUACCGCCUGGGAAGUACGGUCGCAAGGCUGAAACUUAAAGGAAUUGGCGGGGGAGCACCACAAC